AAGCUCCUGCACAUUUGGUCUGUUCUGGUUUCGUUUGUUUUUCGUCAAAAAAAUGGUUUUGAGUGUGUUCUGGUGCUCCCGAAGAUUGUAUCCCAGGCAUUUUUAUGCAGAUGAGAGGAACUUUAGGGAACUUUACAGUGCGAUAUCUCAUUAGAUCUUAGAUGCCCCCUAGAGUAUUCUACUGAGAUGCACACGUAUGGUAGGGCAGCUGCCAGAGGGAAACGUCCUUGGAGACCCACGUGAAAGUUUAAACCCACAAUUCUCUUGUGGCUGCUGGUUUUGAUGCUGCAGGCAGCAUGACAGAGGGGCAUGGCACUCAGCACAGCUGUUUUCGUCAGAGAUUCAUGGCCACGAUAUUGUGAUUCAAGUUCCCUAACUAGGGGAAGAACUUGUGGAGCAUUCCAAAGAACUUAAGGCAAAUGCAGGAGUAGCUCCCAGUGCAGACUUUGGUCCAGUUAUUACUAAGGAAGUGCAAGCCCCCAAAAGUUUGCUAUUUCAGCUGCAAUAGAAUAGGAUUUAUUAUAUUCCGAGUUUUGUUUUCAUUGACAUAGUGCACUUUCUAUUGCCCUAGCUGGUUGUUGGUGCAUACAUUGUUGUUUUAAAUUAUGCAAAAUACCUUUCCUUGAUUUGUGUUACUUUAUUAUAUCUUGAUUGUUGAAUUUACAGGCAAAAAGAUCGCAUAUGUAGGCAACAGAUUAAUACAAAGUGGGUUUGAAAUUGAA